CCAGACUCCUACGGGAGGCAGCAGUGGGGAAUAUUGCACAAUGGGGGGAACCCUGAUGCAGCGACGCCGCGUGGGUGAAGGAGUAUUUCGGUAUGUAAAGCCCUAUCAGCAGGGAAGAACAAUGACGGUACCUGACUAAGAAGCACCGGCUAAAUACGUGCCAGCAGUCGCGGUAAUACGUAUGGUGCAAGCGUUAUCCGGAUUUACUGGGUGUAAAGGGAGCGUAGACGGUCCUGCAAGCCAGAUGUGAAAGCCCGGGGCUCAACCCCGGGACUGCAUUUGGAACUGUAAGGCUAGAGUGUCGGAGAGGCAGGCGGAAUUCCUAGUGUAGCGGUGAAAUGCGUAGAUAUUAGGAGGAACACCAGUGGCGAAGGCGGCCUGCUGGACGACAACUGACGGUGAGGCGCGAAAGCGUGGGGAGCAAACAGGAUUAGAUACCCUGGUAU
rnacentral:rRNA from 1 species